rnacentral:rRNA from 1 species
UACGUAGGGUGCGAGCGUUGUCCGGAAUUAUUGGGCGUAAAGGGCUCGUAGGCGGUUUGUCGCGUCGGGAGUGAAAACCCAGGGCUUAACCCUGGGCUGGCUUUCGAUACGGGCAGACUAGAGGUAUGCAGGGGAGAACGGAAUUCCUGGUGUAGCGGUGAAAUGCGCAGAUAUCAGGAGGAACACCGGUGGCGAAGGCGGUUCUCUGGGCCUUACCUGACGCUGAGGAGCGAAAGCGUGGGGAGCGAACAGG